CGCCGUAGAGCUGGUGGCGGCGGCGGCGGCGGCUCGAGCGCUCCAGAGGCCGGAGGAGGCCAGAAGGAAGGGCCGACUCCGCAGCGCUGUUACCGACCGGGGUUCCUGCACGCCUCGCUCGACCUCUUCCUCUACUACAAGCCCUACCGGCUCUUCCUCUACCUCAUGGCCCAGCUCGAAAAGUUGGCCGAAUGUGUACAGACAAAACUCUUCACGUAACUCUUUUCCGUAUUUCUUCCACUUGAGUUAUACCCUCUCUUGUCAACGUAACUAGCCACACAAAGUUUCAUGACCGUCCACUGAUUGUAACAGCCGCCUUACGAGCCCUGAGUCGUCUGGGGCUACACUCGCGAGACUCUUCGUCAUCAGCGUAAAAGACAUCGUCCUAUGGCAGCGGUACAAAGAGGAGGCAAAAACAAAACCUUACAAGCGGCAAAGCGAUUCAUUUUCGUACUCACUGACUGAUUAAGUAUAUAUGACAAGUUUUCCCUUGGAGGGUCGCGCAGCACGAAAGGUCACCACAUGGCACAGUGACUUAGUACCCGUCUCCGCGUACGGACAUUAUUAAACCAUGUCGAGCUAUCUAAAACAACGGCUUCGAAGAGGAAAGUACCAAUACUAACACGGACACACCGAUACAGACUUACAGACGACCGUUCCCAAGAAUAAAUAAAACCGAGGAAAACGAUUGAGUUG
rnacentral:rRNA from 1 species